rnacentral:rRNA from 1 species
AUUGAACGCUGGCGGCAUGCUUUACACAUGCAAGUCGAACGGUAACAGGGAGCUUGCUCCGCUGACGAGUGGCGAACGGGUGAGUAAUAUAUCGGAACGUACCCAAGAGUGGGGGAUCACGUAGCGCAAGUUACGCUAAUACCGCAUCCGACCUACGGAUGAAAGUGGGGGAUCGCAAGACCUCAUGCUCCUGCAGCGGCCGAUAUCUGAUUAGCUAGUUGGUGAGGUAAAGGCUCACCAAGGCGACGAUCAGUAGCUGGUCUGAGAGGACGCCCAGACAAACGGGAACCGACGCACGGUCCAGACUCCUACGGGAGGCAGCAGGGGGGAAUUUUGGACAAUGGGCGCAAGCUUGAUCCAGCAAUGCUGCGUGAGUGAAGAAGGCCUUCGGGUUGUAAAGCUCUUUUGUCAGGGAAGAAACGGGAGUGGCUAAUAUCAAUUCCUAAUGACGGUACCUGAAGAAUAAGCACCGGCUAACUACGUGCCAGCCGCCGCAGUAA